rnacentral:rRNA from 1 species
UAAAGGAAGCGAUUCCGGCUACGGAUGGUCAUGCGUCGCAUUAGCUAGUUGGCGGGGUAACGGCCCACCAAGGCGACGAUGCGUAGGGGUUCUGAGAGGAAGGUCCCCCACACUGGUACUGAGACACGGACCAGACUCCUACGGGAGGCAGCAGUGAGGAAUAUUGGUCAAUGGCCGCAGGGCUGAACCAGCCAAGUCGCGUGAGGGAUGACGGUCCUAUGGAUUGUAAACCUCUUUUGUCAGGGAGCAAAGGGCGCCACGUGUGGCGCUUUGCGAGUACCUGAAGAAAAAGCAUCGGCUAACUCCGUGCCAGCAGCCGCGGUAAUACGGAGGAUGCGAGCGUUAUCCGGAUUUAUUGGGUUUAAAGGGUGCGCAGGCGGAAUGUCAAGUCAGCGGUAAAAUUUCGGGGCUCAACCCCGUCGUGCCGUUGAAACUGGCGUUCUUGAAUGAGCGAGAAGUAUGCGGAAUGCGUGGUGUAGCGGUGAAAUGCAUAGAUAUCACGCAGAACUCCGAUUGCGAAGGCAGCAUACCGGCGCUCAACUGACGCUCAUGCACGAAAGCGUGGGUAUCGAACAGGAUUAGAUACCCUGGUAGUCCACGCAGUAAACGAUGAAUACUAACUGUCCGGGCAGAAUGAUGCCUGG